rnacentral:rRNA from 1 species
UAGGGAAUCUUCCGCAAUGGACGAAAGUCUGACGGAGCAACGCCGCGUGAGUGAAGAAGGAUUUCGGUUCGUAAAACUCUGUUGUUAGGGAAGAAAAAAUGUAUAGUAACUAUAUACAAAAGAGACGGUACCUAACCAGAAAGCCACGGCUAACUACGUGCCAGCAGCCGCGGUAAUACGUAGGUGGCAAGCGUUGUCCGGAAUUAUUGGGCGUAAAGCGCGCGCAGGUGGUUUAGAAAGUCUGAUGUGAAAGGCAGUGGCUCAACCAUUGUAGGCUUUGGAAACUGUUUAACUUGAGUGCAGAAGGGGAGAGUGGAAUUCCAUGUGUAGCGGUGAAAUGCGUAGAUAUAUGGAGGAACACCGGUGGCGAAAGCGGCUCUCUGGUCUGUAACUGACGCUGAGGCUCGAAAGCGUGGGGAGCGAACAGG